GACGAACGCUGGCGGCGUGCUUAACACAUGCGAGUCGAACGGAAAGGCCCUGCUUUUGUGGGGUGCUCGAGUGGCGAACGGGUGAGUAACACGUGAGUAACCUGCCCUUGACUUUGGGAUAACUUCAGGAAACUGGGGCUAAUACCGGAUAGGAGCUCCUGCUGCAUGGUGGGGGUUGGAAAGUUUCGGCGGUUGGGGAUGGACUCGCGGCUUAUCAGCUUGUUGGUGGGGUAGUGGCUUACCAAGGCUUUGACGGGUAGCCGGCCUGAGAGGGUGACCGGCCACAUUGGGACUGAGGUACGGCCCAGACUCCUACGGGAGGCAGCAGUGGGGAAUGUUGCACAAUGGGCGGAAGCCUGAUGCAGCAACGCCGCGUGCGGGAUGACGGCCUUCGGGUUGUAAACCGCUUUCGCCUGUGACGAAGCGUGAGUGACGGUAAUGGGUAAAGAAGCACCGGCUAACUACGUG
rnacentral:rRNA from 1 species